rnacentral:tRNA from 1 species
GGCGGGGUCGCAUAGUCCGGCCUAGUGCACUUGUCUUGAAAACAAGAGAGGGUAACACCUCCGUGGGUUCGAAUCCCACCCCCGCCGCCA